UGUAUAGCUUAGGCUAACUAUAUUUGGUUUAAUUAAUGUUUAUAUUUAUAUUAACAUAUUAAUUUAUUUGUAAAAAAAAACAAAUAUAGUAUCGAUUUUGUCGAAUAAAGUUCUAGAUAGAAUACUGAUUAUGACAAUUUUCUAUCUAUAUGUCUUGACCAAAUUACGUGCCAGCAGUCGCGGUAAUACGUAGAAGACUAGUGUUAUUCAUCUCUAAUAGGUUUAAAGGGUACCUAGACGGUAAAAUUAGUCUAAAAUAUGAUACGGUUUUACUAGAGUUAUAUAUGAGGAGGUGAGUAUUUAAGGAGUAGAGUUGAAAUUCAUUGAUACCUUAAGGACUGGUAAUGGCGAAAGCAACCUCUUAUCUAAUAACUGACGUUGAGGGACGAAGGCUUGGGGAACAAACAGGAUUAGAUACCCUAGUAGUCCAAGCAGAGAAUUAUGAAUGCCAUAGAUUAGAAAUAUAUUUAGUCUAUAAAUGAAAGUGUAAGCAUUCCACCUCAAGAGUAAUGUGGCAACGCAGGAACUGAAAUCAUUAGACCGUUUCUGAAACCAGUAGUGAAGUAUGUUAUUUAAUUCGUAGUUACGCGAAAAACCUUACCACAAUUUGUAUAGUAUCUUAAUAAGAUAUUACAAGCGUUGCACGGCUGUCUUCAGUUAAUGUCGUGAGAUAUUGGUUAAUUCCAUUAAAUUAACGGAAACCCUUGCUUUAUUUGCAAAUUUUAUAAAUAAAGCAGUUCACCUCUAUAUUGGAUAUGAUAAC
rnacentral:rRNA from 1 species